UGGUGGAGCGAUUUGUCUGGUUAAUUCCGAUAACGAACGAGACUCUGGCCUAUUAAAUAGUUCGCCGAUUCCGAUCUGUCGGCGUUAACUUCUUAGAGGGACAAGUGGCUUUUAGCCACGCGAGU
rnacentral:rRNA from 1 species